UGUUUGCCUCUGUGUCACUAGCUGUGGGUGGCAGCUGUGAAAACUACACUCUGAGUGUGUCCUGCCUGCCUCCAGACCGCUAAUGCUGAGAGAGGAGGCUGGCUUCUUUGGUGCUUCCAGACACCCGGAGGGAGUGGCAACAACUCUCCCCUGAGACCAUGGAUGUUGAACCUGUGCUGGGACCCCGGUGCUUAGCACUAAAGGUGCUCAGGAAAUAUCUUCUCAAUGAAUGGAAGCCCCUCCCCCCGCCAUUUCCUGCCAAGCUGGAUAAAUGAUGACAGGAGCGGAAGGAUAUGAGGCUCCAAUCACCAUGUCAAGCCCUGCGGGUUUAGCAGCCCCUUUGGACCCUCUUUGGGGACCACUGACUAAGAACGUGCGCUUUGGAGCCCCACAGACCUGCAUUUGAACCCAGGCCUUUCUUGUCAUGAUCUGUGUGGCUUUAGACCAGUCUCUGGGCCAUAGUUUAGUCUUCUAGUCAAUGGGAUAAUAAUUCCUACUUUUCUGUGUGGCUUAAAUGAGGGGCUCGGUCCAAGGCCUGGCAGGCUGGAAGAGUUCACACAUUGUAACUAUGGUGAUGAUUAUCAUGACUGGGUUUACUCUUUUUUGCUAAAAUUAAUGAAACUCAACUCCAAGUACCAUGGGCCUACAGGCUUAUUUUCUGCAUUGUCCAUUGUCACCAGAGGUGGUGAGUCACAGCCCAGUGUAGGAUGGGUCUAAGUCUCCCAUCGCUGAACCCGAUGGCCCCAGUGUAAAUGCAGCGGGUGGACCUGGUACCGGCUAGGGAAGGCUGGCUGGCGUCCCUGCAGGAUGGGGCUGAGAGGUGGGUCAGGUUUCAGUUCUCUGUGUUGCUUUUAAAAUAAUGGAAGUAUCAGGUUGGGUUCACCGGCUGGUCAUGGUUUUGAUCCCUUGCUAACUUCAUAAGGCGAGUCCAUGAAUUAUACAGUGCCGGAGCAGACGGUGCGAAGUACGGCUGCAUUACAACCAGGCUUAAUAAGGACACUCCAGCUAUUCUUG